rnacentral:rRNA from 1 species
GGAACAAUAUACGGUUUAGUGAUUCUAUAAUUUUAGUAAUAUUAUAUUUUAUUGUUAUAAACUGCUCGAAUAUGUCCAUUUCCUUAUAUCUGUGAAGAUUGCAAUAAUUAGACUUUUUUAAUAAUAUGGCUUUAUGGUUAAAUUAUUUUAUACAUUUUUAUUAACUUAUUAAUGUAAAAAUGAAAUUCGUGAUGAAAAUGUAAUCAUUAAGUAAAAUAAAUUCUUUUUUUUAUAAAAAAUAUAUUUUUAUGAAUUAUCAUAAUUAUAGAAUUUGUCCAAAAUCCACUGUGCAUUUUUAAAAAAUAUAGAAUUAAUGUAUAAAAUAUUUUAUAAUACAAAGAUUUACUAUUUAGGAUAAUGUUAAAUCUUGCUACUUAAUUAUACUCAUUUUCAUGUAAGAUAACCUGCUAAAUUUAAACAUAUUACUAUGUAGUGAAAUUAAAAUAAAAUUUGACUUAUGAAGUAAUAGCGAAUGAACAUAUUGUCAUCUGAGCCAUAAUACAAAAUAUAAUGGGUAUAUAAAUGUAGUUAAAUUAUAUGAAUAUUUCUGAAUUGUUAUAAGCUUAUUUAGCUAUAAGAUUUUAGACGAUAAUAAUUCUGUAUUAUAAUAAUUAUUUAUAUUAAGUCAGUUAAAUAUGGAAUAUAGUUCUUUGAUACUAGAGUUGAAAUAAGAUGGUGUUACACAUAUAAGGACAGGUCACAACUGGAGAACUUUUAGUUAACAAGUAUCUUAAGAGAAAGAUGAAAAGAACCUUAGGGUGGGAGUUAAAUAGUACAUGAAUUUGUUAGUUAAAAUGUAUCAACUUUAUAAACAUUUCUUUAAUAUAAAUAAAUAUUUAAUGAAUCCUAUUAUAGAUAUAUUAUGUAUAUUAUUUGUUUUCUUUUUUAAGGUACGUUAUAUAUGUCUGUUAUUAUUUUGAUUCGACCCGUCUGGAAACACGGUUCAAAGGAGUCUAAUUUUAUUGCAAAAUAAUUAAUAAUAAUAUAUUUGAUUACAUUUAAUUUGAACUGCGUUUGUCUAUAAAUAUACAUUACAAAGUGCGAAUACUGUAAUAACUCUCAAAUUUUAGCAUUUAUUUUAGUACCCGAAAGAUGGUGAACUAUACUUAUGUAGGGUUAAGUCAGCAGAAAUUUUGGUUAAUGCUCGAAAUGAUACUGACGUGCAAAUCGUUCGUUUAAUAAAAGUAUAGGGGCGAAAGACUAAUCGAACUAUCUAGUAGCUGGUUGCCUUUGAAGUUUCCCUCAGGAUAGCUAGGGAUAUUUUAAAGUUACAUGAGGUAAAGCGAAUCAUUAGAGCCAUUGGGUUUUAAAAAAUCUCAUUCUAUUCUUAAACUUUAAAUGUAUAUAAAGUGAUGCUAUUUUAUUUUAAGUAUUACAUUGAAAUAUGUCUCUCUGUGGGCCAAUUUUGGUAAGCAGAACUGGCGAUGUGGGAUGUUCCAAACAUAUAGUUAAUAAGCAAAAUUGUUAGCUUAGAUUGAUACCAAAAAGGGCGUUAUUUGAUUUGAAUAGCAGGACGAUGAUCAUGGAAGUUGAUAUUCGUUAAAUAGUGUGUAAUAACUCACCUGUCGAAUCAAACAGCCCCAAAAAUGGAUGGCUCUUAAGUAUACUUUUAAAACUAAAUGACUAAUUUACUUAAUAUAUAUGAUAGUUAGUAGAAUGUUAAAACAAUAGCAUUGAAUAUGUAAUCAUAUGGUUUAUUGGAGUAAUUGUUAGUACAGAUCUUGGUAUUAGUAGCAAUUUUUCAUUAAAGAAUAAUGAAUCCUGAGGUGGAGUAAGGUUCCAUAUUACCAACAUUUGAAUAUGGGUUAGUAGGUCCUCACUAAAUUAUUAAUUAAUUAGAAUAGUAAAUUGUAUUACUUCUCUUAACAGGGUUUCUAGUUAAUAUUCUUGAAUUAAAUAUCAUGCUGUUAUUAUGGUAACAGUAAAAGUUGAGUCAUAAGGUUUAUUGUUUUAAUAGGAGAUCUCUAUUCUUAUUCAGAGUGUAUAUAUAAUCCGGUAAAAAGAUAAUCUUAAGGUCAGAUGAUAUAUUUUAGAAAGCUGUGCAUAAUUGCGAAGCAUAGUUUAGUUUUGACCUUUUUAAAAACACUGUUAAUUGUAUUCUCACCAUUAUUGAUUUUUAUUAAUCACCGCAUCAGGUCUCCAAGGUUAGAAGCCUCUUGUUAAUAGAAUAAAGGGGGUAAGGGAAGUCGGCAAAAUAGUUCUGUAUGUUUGCAACAAAGAAUGGCUCAUUAUGUUGGGUUAUAAGGCUCAUGGAAUAAAUAAUAUGGAAAUAAAUAUUUACCAUAACUGAUAUAAAGUCAUAUAUGGAAAAAUUCGCAUUCCAUUUGAAUGACAACAUGAGGAUGUUUAGAUUGUAAUGAAAAUAAAUUUUGGGUAACAUCUAGCAACUAAAAUUGAACUGGUAUUAGCUUAAGGAACCCGACUAUUUAAUUAAAAUAAAGCAUUGAGAUGGAUUAGAUAGUUAUUGAUACAAUGUGAUUUCUGCCCAGUGCCCUGGAUGUUAAUGUGAGUAAAUUCAAUAAAGCGCGGGUAAACGGCGGGAGUAACUAUGACUCUCUUAAGGUAGCCAAAUGCCUCGUCAUUUCAUUAGUGACGCGCAUGAAUGGAUCAACGAGGUUCCUUCUGUCCCUUCUUACUAUCUAGCGAAACUACAGCCAAGGGAACGGGCUUGAAAGUAAUUGCGGGGAAAGAAGACCCUGUUGAGCUUGACUCUACUUUGAUAUUGUGAAGUGGUAUCGGCGGUGUAGAAUAGGUGGGAGAUGAAACGCAUAUUUGAAAUACCACUACGACGGUUGCGGCUUAACUUACAAAAUAAAAGAAAGAAUACUUAAUUGUACAUGUUUCUAAGUUAAACUUAUAUAGUAAAUUUGUUUUUAUAUAUUGUCAGAUAGGGAGUUUAGCUGGGGCGGCAUAUCUGUUAGAGAAUAACACAGAUGUCCUAAUAACAAUUCAAUGUGAACAGAAAUCGGAUGUAGAGUUUAAGUGCAAAAAUUGUUUUGACUUUGAUAUUCAGUUUGAAUCAGGGCACUGAAAGGUCUGGCUUAGUGAUCCUUUAGGUGUUUAAAGUUCAAAUUUAGAGGUGACAGAAAAGUUACCACAGGGAUAACUGGCUUGUGGCG